rnacentral:rRNA from 1 species
GACAGAGGGUGCAAACGUUGUUCGGAAUUACUGGGCGUAAAGCGUGCGUAGGCGGAUUUACAAGUCAGAAGUGAAAUCCCAGGGCUUAACCCUGGAAUUGCUUUUGAAACUGCAAGUCUAGAAUCUUGAAGAGGUUAGCAGAAUUCCGAGUGUAGAGGUGAAAUUCGCAGAUAUUCGGAGGAAUACCAAUGGCGCAGGCAGCUAACUGGGCAAGUAUUGACGCUGAGGCACGAAAGCGUGGGGAGCAAACAGG